AUGGCAGGAGCCAGGUACUUAUCCUGGUCUCCUUGGGGUGCAGGGCCCAAGCACUUGGGCCAUCCUCCACUGCACUCCCGGGCCACAGCAGAGAGCUGGUCUGGAAGAGGGGCAACCGGGACAGAAUCCGGCGCCCUGACCGGGACUAGAACCCGGUGUGCCGGCACCGCAAGGCGGAGGAUUAGCCUAGUGAGCCAUGGCGCCGGCUUGACCUUAUCUUCUAAUGCAUUUUCCACCAACUGUGUGAAGCACGGCCAGAACACAGGAGCUCAGUGUUUCCAUUUCAUCUGUAUGGAUAAGGCAGCUGCCAUUCAGAGUACACACAUCUGGUCAACCACAAGGAGGCUUCAGCCUGAUUUCCAAGCCCCAGGCACCUUCUGGAGGGUCCUGUGCUUCCCCGUGCUCAUCAAAGCCAAGCCAGAGCCAGAGCCAGCCAGAAGAGCCCCCUCCCCAGCAUGGUGUCCUGUUCCACCCCCACUGCCUUCCUGCAGCUCACCGCCUUCCUUCCAAGCCUCCCAAAAUCCCCACCGCUGCGUGGAACGUCCCAGAAGCCCAGAGAGGAACAAGAACCGUUCAUCAAUUGCUUCUUCUGGCCUGAGCCUCUUCUGGGUGUUUCCCGUCAUUAUCUCACUUAAUCCUCAGACAGUUCUGGAACUUAAGCACCCUUCCCUCUGUUUUAUGGGUGAGGAAGCCCAGGCCCAGGGUGUGGAAGUGAGUGGUCUGGUGUUGCAUUCAAAGGCGGGGACUCCCAGCCCAGCUGGGAAAUGCAAGUCGAGCAUUGUCUGUCCUCACCGCCCCCACCCCUUGCCCCCCAGCAAUGCCUUGCCACUAGGCAUGGUGGUUCCCAGAGGAUGGGGAAGGGAUGCUGUGAGGGUCCCAGGGUGCCGUGCCCUAUCCCCGGGCAGCAUGAGAGGGCCCCCCGGCCGCUCAAGGCCCACAGCACAAAGGCAGGGCCAGGAUCCAAGACAGAGCUGCUGGCUGAGCUUUCUGUGCCGCCCCUGA
rnacentral:lncRNA from 1 species